GGUUGAACAAAUUUUAAUUUGAUUUCAAGAUAAAUAUGACUUUUAGGGUGGAAAGUC
rnacentral:ncRNA from 19 species